UCAGCCAGAGUUCAGGGUUAAAGUCAGGGUAGUUUAACAUGCUUCCUGGAAUACCCCCCAGGAAUGGUUUGCCCCGGCUUCUACCCAGCUGCCGGAGUGAAUCACCGGACUCACCUGCAUGGGGCCGGGCCACUUUCAAGCUCCUCACAAAACAAAGGGGGGUGGAUGUACCUGUUCAUCUUUAUGCUGCAGCUCCUCCGAAGGGCAGCAAACAGACGGAGGAAUCGGCCCCUCAAAAUGAGGACAGCAGACAGCUGGACCUUCGGGGGAAAACCCCAAUAAGAGCUGUAAUUCCCUCACUGCCAACACUGCUGGGACCAGAACACUCAGGUUCCACUCGUAAUGGAACGGCAGCUCAGGCCAGACGGCAGUCACCACCAAAGGAUGACCUGCAGUCCACCCCAGAGGCUGCAAAAAUCCCUCUUCGUCCUCCUCGCCACGGUUCAGUAGGCAAUGCCACCGGGGGGGUGGGUGGCGGUAAAGACGGAAGUGCUUUUCUCUAAUGGGAAGGAGCUCAGGCAGGUGAAACGGGCAUCAGACUUUAUUCACUCAGGGCUCUUCAACUGACAGAGAUUCUCUUUGAUGUACUAAAACCAAAAUAAAAGGUAAUCUAGUUAAAUUAAACCUACUAAAAACUGCAAUUCCUAGAGCCCCGCCCCUUUGCUUUCGGUAUAAUUGACACCAAAAAACAAACUUUAUUUUUAAAGCACAUUUACACAACAGCCACAUAAAGGGCUUUACAGACUUAAUACAAUUAAAAAUGAAAAUUUAAAAAACACCCUCAACCCUUCUGACCCCCCACACACACACACACACACACACACACCCAUCAUAAUGAAACAUUAAAUGACUAAACUCAAAGUGGAAACCUGGCCUGAUGCUCAAGUGAGGACAUAUAUUUUUGGGAUCAACUCAUUCAUGGGACACCCCCUGAUGAAAGCAAGCUGCCCCACCAGGGAGGUCCCACCACAAAGACCCCCGUUUGGUCCAUCAGAAGGGUUGAUCACUGUGUGGAGGGGUCCUGCUGAGGACAACGCUGCAGUUAAAGUGAAAAUACAUACAGUUAAAAGAUUAUUAUACAAAUAACAAAAUUAAUAGACCUUAAGGGACAGGUAAAAACCCAAAGUCACGCAUCUGUAUUGUAUUUCUGAGACCCCCAUCUCAUUAAUCCAAACUUUCCUUAAAAGACACUGAUUUUAAGAGUUUUCUGUCCUGCAGUUCAUUAUCAUUCCACUAGGGGCAGUAGUGGAAGUUGAAAGUAGUUUAGCAUCUUGAACUAAUAUUAUUAUAUUAUAUUAAGAUUAUUGAACUAUUGUUGUGAGCAAAAACUUACCGAAACACCCAAACAAUCUUUUAGGGAUUUCAUCCUUCAUUCUUAAUUCCCCCAAAAAUCUGCGACAGGAUUUACAGAGUUAAAUAUCAACUAAAUAUAAAUUUCAGUGAAAAAUUGUUUAAUUGACUGAUCUCUGUCUUUCACAGUUGGUGAUGAUUUCUGAGAAUGUUUUUCACAUCAUUCACACAUUUUAUUCAUCUGCUCCUGAUUCACAACAAUUUGAAUAAAAAAAAAACUCAUUCGAAAUUUAAUCCUAAUUUCCCCUACAUACAGUACGUCCUCCAUCAUCAGAAUAAUGCCACAAGAUCUUAAGUCAACUAGUGUGAAUGUUUCAUUGGUCUGGGAGCUUCAGUUUGAGUUCAUCUGAGGAUAGGUAUAUGGACUUUACUAAAAGUUUUUUACUUACUGAAAGCUUCUUCCUCAUCUUGAUCGUCUCGCACAGUUUUCUGGAAAAAAACAAAAAAAGCAAAAACCUCUCCAAAUCCUGGUUUUUGCAGUGGUUUACUUCCAGGAAGAGAAGUCUUUCAUGGAGCAGUCAGUCUGCAUCGGCUGAGCCAUUGGAAAAUUUGUCAUGCUUGUAUCCCAAAUUGAACUUCUAAGCUUGAUAAAAGUGAGGAUGACAGAAUCAGAACUGUGAGAAUAUUAGCCGGCUGAGCUUUUUGAUGAUGAAAAGCCUUUGUUCUUUAGACAUCACAAACAGCAGGCAAGCCUUAACUCCCACAGAUAUCAAAGCCUCCAUGUCCAGCAUUUGCUGCAAUAGGGAACUUUCCAGAGCAUUAUUAGGAUUAUUGGCCUCUCUGCUCCCUUCAUCCCUUUUAUUUGUUUUUUUUUUUUUUAUGACAGCCAGGAAUUAUCAAACAAUAUUAACAAAAGCAAUUGGGACAGGGCAUCAGCUAAAGUCCAUACCGGGGGUCCCCAAACUUUUUCCAGCGAGGGCCACAUGACAAUUCCAUUCUCUGAUGGGGGGCCAGGGUCAGUUUGAAACAGAAAACGUGUGACAGUCGCAGGGGGGCCUAAAUGUAAACGUUCAUCGUUUCCCACAAAGCCACACAUGACCAAAUGUUAAUAAGCCGAUCUGAUAUCAAAUAAUCCUCUCUGGGUUCUUCACCAAAUAAAUAAAGAAAUUAUAAUAAUCAGCAAAUAUAUAAUAAGACUCUUUAUGAAAUCAGUUUAAAAACAAAUAACCCUCUCUGGGUUCUUUACAUAAAAAGUCAGUAAAUAUAAAGUAAAAGUAUUUUAGAUUUAAGAAAAUCAAUAAUAUCCAAAUAACUCUGUGGGUUGUGUGUUGUUCAUGCACAAUCUUAGGUAAAAGUUCAACUUCAGUUGUUAGAGCAGAAUCUCUUAUAUAUCUUAUAUUAUAUCAAAUAUAAUAGGAACAUAGCAGAUGUUUGCAUAAAAUGUGGACAUAAAGGUACAUUGGGCAGCGUGGUUUGGCCCCGCAGGCGCUACUUUUUUGACGGUAUUUUCCAUAACAGGUUUUGAUGAAAAAGCGUAGUGAUUGAUUGAUUCGUUUUGUGAGGAUGACCUCAGUUAAAGCUCCUGCCUGUGAUCGAUUUGACGGGUUUGAUUCAUUUCUGACCAAAUAUUUUAAUACGACUAUUUUCUGAGUUCACCGUAUUUUAGGGGGAAGACAUUUCUAAUCCACAACCAAGAAAUUCCCCUUAGCUGUUGGAACACAGCAUGAAAGUUAAGAAGCAGAAAGUCUG